GACGAACGCUGGCGGCGUGCUUAACACAUGCAAGUCGAACGGUGAAGCGCCUUCCUUUUUGGUGGGUGUGGAUGAGUGGCGAACGGGUGAGUAACACGUGAGUAACCUGCCCCCUUCUUCUGGAUAACCGCAUGAAAGUGUGGCUAAUACGGGAUAUUCUGGGUCUGUCGCAUGAUGGGUCUGGGAAAGAUAUUGUUUCGGUGGGGGAUGGGCUCGCGGCCUAUCAGCUUGUUGGUGGGGUGAUGGCCUACCAAGGCGGUGACGGGUAGCCGGCCUGGGAGGGUGGACGGUCACACUGGGACUGAGACCCGGCCCAGACUCCUACGGGAGGCAGCCGUGGGGAAUAUUGCACAAUGGGCGCAAGCCUGAUGCAGCGACGCCGCGUGAGGGAUGGAGGCCUUCGGGUUGUGAACCUCUUUCGCCAGUGAAGCAGGCCUGCCUCGUUUGUGGGUGGGUUGACGGUAGCUGGAUAAGAAGCGCCGGCUAACUACGUG
rnacentral:rRNA from 1 species